CUGGCUCAGAACGAACGCUGGCGGCGCGUCUAAGCAUGCAAGUCGAACGGCAAGAGGUAGCAAUACCUCCUAGAGUGGCGGACUGGUGAGUAACACGUGGGUGACAUACCCUUCAGAUGGGGAUAGCUAUUAGAAAUAGUAGAUAAUACCGAAUACGAGCACAGGGGUUAGAGAUCUGUGAGGAAAGGAGCUAAGGCUCCGCUGAAGGAAUGGCCUGCGGCCCAUUAGCUAGUUGGUGAGGUAAGAGCCCACCAAGGCGAUGAUGGGUAUCCGGCCUUAGAGGGUGAACGGACACAUUGGGACUGAGAUACGGCCCAGACUCCUACGGGAGGCAGCAGCUAAGAAUAUUCCGCAAUGGACGAAAGUCUGACGGAGCGACGCCGCGUGGAUGAAGAAGGCCGGAAGGUUGUAAAAUCCUUUUGAAACUGAAGAAUAAGCGUUGUAGGGAAUGACAGCGUGGUGACAGUAGGUUUUGAAUAAGCAACGGCUAAUUACGUGCCAGCAGCCGC
rnacentral:rRNA from 1 species